CGCUCAACGUGGGGCUCGAACCCACGACCCUGAUAUAAAAAGUCUCAUGCUCUACCGACUGAGCUACCCGGGC
rnacentral:tRNA from 1 species